ACGGAGGAUGCGAGCGUUAUCCGGAUUUAUUGGGUUUAAAGGGCGUGUAGGCUGAAGAUAAAGUUAGAUGUGAAAGAUCGAUGCUUAACAUCGGUCGGGCAUUCAAAACUGGUGUUCUAGAGUACACUAGAGGGAAGUGGAAUUUGUGGUGUAGCGGUGAAAUGCGUAGAUAUCCUAAGGAACUCCAAUUGCGAAAGCGGCCUUCUGGAAUAAAACUGACGCUGAGACGCGAAAGUGCGGGUAUCAAACAG
rnacentral:rRNA from 1 species